CACGUAGGGGGCGAGCGUUGUCCGGAUUUAUUGGGCGUAAAGAGCUCGUAGGCGGUUUGUUGCGUCGGCUGUGAAAUCCCGAGGCUCAACCUCGGGUCUGCAGUCGAUACGAGCAAACUAGAGUGUUGCAGGGGAGACUGGAAUUCCUGGUGUAGCGGUGAAAUGCGCAGAUAUCAGGAGGAACACCGGUGGCGAAGGCGG
rnacentral:rRNA from 1 species